rnacentral:tRNA from 1 species
GCUUGAUAAGCGNGGGGUCGGAUUAAGUCUUCCCGGGCCCACCAUUGGUUUGCUGAAUUUACCUGAUCCCUGGCGGUUUUGCUGUCGGGUGUUUGCGAUGGUUGGGGCUGUAGCUCAGCUGGGAGAGCACCUGCUUUGCAAGCAGGGGGUCAGCGGUUCGAUCCCGCUCAGCUCCACCAAUCGCGGAACGCGGUAUUGGUGUGUAGCGCGGGAAUAUCCUUCUGAAGAAAUAAAAGUUUGCAUCGUCUGAGAGGACUGAUGCCUGUUCUGAAUACAUUGUGAAGAGAAGAUAUGUCUGGAAGCGUCCAGGUGUUUUGAGCCCUUGUGGUUUGAAACGUCCGAGCCCAGUCCCAGAGAAACCAUGUGAUGGCUUAGUCGGNCGGAAUUGGUGGAGGGAUUGGAGGUAGGUAGGAAAGCUUGUCCGAGGCAUUUUUGUUGUUUGAAGGUUUANGNCUUCAUCUGAUGGGAAUGCUGGAUUGAUGUUGCCUGACCGCGCAUCA